GUAGACCUGCAUAGCACUGUGAGCAAGCCUGAGCUUGUCUGAUCUCGGAGGCUAAGCAGGGUUGGGCCUGGUUAGCAUUUGGAUAGAAGCCGUCUGGGAAUUUCAGGUGCUGUAAACU
ensembl:rRNA 5S_rRNA 5S ribosomal RNA